rnacentral:rRNA from 1 species
GACGAACGCUGGCGGCGUGCUUAACACAUGCAAGUCGAACGGAAAGGCCCUGCUUUUGUGGGGUGCUCGAGUGGCGAACGGGUGAGUAACACGUGAGUAACCUGCCCUUGACUUUGGGAUAACUUCAGGAAACUGGGGCUAAUACCGGAUAGGAGCUCCUGCUGCAUGGUGGGGGUUGGAAAGUUUCGGCGGUUGGGGAUGGACUCGCGGCUUAUCAGCUUGUUGGUGGGGUAGUGGCUUACCAAGGCUUUGACGGGUAGCCGGCCUGAGAGGGUGACCGGCCACAUUGGGACUGAGAUACGGCCCAGACUCCUACGGGAGGCAGCAGUGGGGAAUAUUGCACAAUGGGCGGAAGCCUGAUGCAGAAACGCCGCGUGCGGGAUGACGGCCUUCGGGCUGUAAACCGCUUUAGCCUGUGACGAAGCGUGAGUGACGGUAAUGGGUAAAGAAGCACCGGCUAACUACGUG